GACGAACGCUGGCGGCGUGCUUAACACAUGCAAGUCGAACGGAAAGGCCCCUUUGGGGGUACUCGCUUGGCGAACGGGUGAGUAACACGUGAGUAACCUGCCUUUGCCUUCGGGUUAACUUCAGUCAACUGGGUCUAUUACCGGCUAGGAAUCCUUUCUUCCUGUUUGGGGUUGGAAAGCUUCGUCGGUUUUGGCUGGACUCGCGGCUUAUCAGCUUGUUGGUGGGGUAGUGGCUUACCAAGGCUUUGACGGGUAGCCGGCCUGAGAGGGCGACCGGCCACAUUGGGGCUGGGAUACGGCCCAGACUCCUACGGGAGGCAGCAGUGGGGAAUAUUGCACAAGGGGCGGAAGCCUGAUGCAGCAAAGCCGCGGGCGGGAUGACGGCCUUCGGGUUGGAAACCGCGUUCAGCAGGGGCGAAGCUUGUGGUGACGGUACCUGCAGAAGAAGCACCGGCUAACUACGUG
rnacentral:rRNA from 1 species